UACGUAGGGGGCAAGCGUUGUCCGGAAUCAUUGGGCGUAAAGCGCGUGUAGGCGGUUCGGUAAGUCCGCUGUGAAAGUCCAGGGCUCAACCCUGGGAUGCCGGUGGAUACUGUCGGGCUAGAGUACGGAAGAGGCGAGUGGAAUUCCUGGUGUAGCGGUGGAAUGCGCAGAUAUCAGGAGGAACACCGGUGGCGAAGGCGGGAUCCUGGGCCAGUACUGACGCUGAGGAGCGAAAGCGUGGGGAGCGAACAGG
rnacentral:rRNA from 1 species